AGAGUUUGAUCCUGGCUCAGGACGAACGCUGGCGGCGUGCUUAACACAUGCAAGUCGAACGGGGCAUAGAGAUAUGCCUAGUGGCGGACGGGUGAGUAACACGUGAGCAACCUAUCCUAUACAACGGGAUAACACAGCGAAAUUUGUACUAAUACGGUAUAAGACCACACUCCGGCAUCGGAGAGGGGUAAAAGCUGAGGCGGUAUAGGAGGGGCUCGCGGCCCAUUAGCUAGUUGGAGAGGUAACGGCUCACCAAGGCGACGAUGGGUAGCCGAUCUGAGAGGAUGAACGGCCACAUUGGAACUGAGAAACGGUCCAAACUCCUACGGGAGGCAGCAGUGGGGAAUAUUGGGCAAUGGAGGCAACUCUGACCCAGCAACGCCGCGUGAAUGAAGAAGGUCUUCGGAUUGUAAAGUUCUUUAGCGAGGGACGAAAAGAAUGACGGUACCUCGAGAAUAAGCCACGACUAACUACGUGCCAGCAGUCGCGGUAAUACGUAGGUGGCGAGCGUUGUCCGGAAUGACUGGGCGUAAAGGGAGCGUAGGCGGCACAACAAGUUAGGAGUGAAAUACCGUGGCUUAACCACGGAACUGCUUUUAAAACUGUUGAGCUAGAGUGAUGGAGAGGAAAGCGGAAUUCCUAGUGUAGCGGUGGAAUGCGUAGAUAUUAGGAGGAACACCAGAGGCGAAGGCGGCUUUCUGGACAUUAACUGACGCUGAGGCUCGAAAGCGUGGGGAGCAAACAGGAUUAGAUACCCUGGUAGUCCACGCCGUAAACGAUGGAUACUAGAUGCGGGGAGUAUCGACUCUUUCCGUGUCGGAGCAAACGCAAUAAGUAUCCCGCCUGGGGAGUACGGCCGCAAGGUUGAAACUCAA
rnacentral:rRNA from 1 species